GCCCACACCCUUGAGCCAUUGCCGAAAAAAGGCAGGGUCCUGGAAUCCAACAAUCAUAUAUUCACCAGUGCCUCCCACGUGCCACUUACUAGUAAUUUGGACCUGACAUAUCCACUCGAUUUUCAUUGAGCUCCGCUAUCUGAGUACACACACAACGGGCGGUACAGCAUUCUAAUUCGGUCCUGGGCCUGGCUCUAUCCUCCCUUCCCUUGGUACCACAUGAAUAUCUAGAAACAUGCUUCCACCGAGGGGCACGGCGAUGAGGUGGGCAGUCGGACACUUUUGCUGUGGACAUGGACGUGGACGCCACGCAUAGGAAACAAUCAGAUAAAAAUGCAAGACGGGCCAUUCCCUAUCUUCCAAAUAUUAUCCCUGGCUAUUCUCACUCAGUACAGGCCCCACCGUUUAUAUUAUCAAGGGAGAUGGCAUGUACCAUGUAUCCUUGGCCUAGGCAGAACUUAUUGGCUCGUGGGG
rnacentral:sRNA from 2 species